rnacentral:rRNA from 9 species
AGCGAACGUAUCACUUAAAGCGAUUCAGCGGGUUACGAUUGACGGAGCGAAGCGACGUCAAAGCGUAUACAAAGUCGAGUCGGUUUAAGGAUACGUUCGUUGGGUAGGGGAGCGUUCUGUAAGCCUGUGAAGGUGGCCUGUGAGGGUUGCUGGAGGUAUCAGAAGUGCGAAUGCUGACAUAAGUAACGAUAAAGCGGGUGAAAAGCCCGCUCGCCGGAAGACCAA